GAUGAAGAACGCAGCGAAAUGCGAUAAGUAAUGUGAAUUGCAGAAUUCAGUGAAUCAUCGAAUCUUUGAACGCAUCUUGCGCUCCUUGGUAUUCUGAGGAGCAUGCCUGUUUGAGUGUCAUUAAAUUCUCAACUACACUGACUUUGAAUUGGUGUGGCUUGGAUUUGGGGGGAAAAUUGUUGUGGGCUUUUUGUAUAGUCUGCUCCCCUGAAAUUGAUUAGCGGUACCUUUGUGGAACUGUCUACAGGUGUGAUAAUUAUCUACAUCUUAGACAUCUGCUGGAAUGCUGCUUUCUAAACCUUACUUGUAUUGACAAUUUUGACCUCAAAUCAGGUAGGACUACCCGCUGAACUUAAGCAUAUCAAUAAGCGGAGGA
rnacentral:misc_RNA from 1 species